rnacentral:rRNA from 1 species
GAUGGGAAACAGGUUAAUAUUCCUGUACUUGGUGUUACUGCGAAGGGGGGGACGGAGAAGGCUAUGUUGGCCGGGCGACGGUUGUCCCGGUUUAAGCGUGUAGGCUGGUUUUCCAGGCAAAUCCGGAAAAUCAAGGCUGAGGCGUGAUGACGAGGCACUACGGUGCUGAAGCAACAAAUGCCCUGCUUCCAGGAAAAGCCUCUAAGCAUCAGGUAACAUCAAAUCGUACCCCAAACCGACACAGGUGGUCAGGUAGAGAAUACCAAGGCGCUUGAGAGAACUCGGGUGAAGGAACUAGGCAAAAUGGUGCCGUAACUUCGGGAGAAGGCACGCUGAUAUGUAGGUGAAGCGACUUGCUCGUGGAGCUGAAAUCAGUCGAAGAUACCAGCUGGCUGCAACUGUUUAUUAAAAACACAGCACUGUGCAAACACGAAAGUGGACGUAUACGGUGUGACGCCUGCCCGGUGCCGGAAGGUUAAUUGAUGGGGUUAGCGCAAGCGAAGCUCUUGAUCGAAGCCCCGGUAAACGGCGGCCGUAACUAUAACGGUCCUAAGGUAGCGAAAUUCCUUGUCGGGUAAGUUCCGACCUGCACGAAUGGCGUAAUGAUGGCCAGGCUGUCUCCACCCGAGACUCAGUGAAAUUGAACUCGCUGUGAAGAUGCAGUGUACCCGCGGCAAGACGGAAAGACCCCGUGAACCUUUACUAUAGCUUGACACUGAACAUUGAGCCUUGAUGUGUAGGAUAGGUGGGAGGCUUUGAAGUGUGGACGCCAGUCUGCAUGGAGCCGACCUUGAAAUACCACCCUUUAAUGUUUGAUGUUCUAACGUGGACCCGUAAUCCGGGUUGCGGACAGUGUCUGGUGGGUAGUUUGACUGGGGCGGUCUCCUCCUAAAGAGUAACGGAGGAGCACGAAGGUUGGCUAAUCCUGGUCGGACAUCAGGAGGUUAGUGCAAUGGCAUAAGCCAGCUUGACUGCGAGCGUGACGGCGCGAGCAGGUGCGAAAGCAGGUCAUAGUGAUCCGGUGGUUCUGAAUGGAAGGGCCAUCGCUCAACGGAUAAAAGGUACUCCGGGGAUAACAGGCUGAUACCGCCCAAGAGUUCAUAUCGACGGCGGUGUUUGGCACCUCGAUGUCGGCUCAUCACAUCCUGGGGCUGAAGUAGGUCCCAAGGGUAUGGCUGUUCGCCAUUUAAAGUGGUACGCGAGCUGGGUUUAG